rnacentral:rRNA from 1 species
UACAGAGGUCUCAAGCGUUGUUCGGAUUCAUUGGGCGUAAAGGGUGCGUAGGUGGUGAUGCAAGUCUGGUGUGAAAUCUCGGAGCUCAACUCCGAAAUUGCACCGGAUACUGCGUGACUCGAGGACUGUAGAGGAGAUCGGAAUUCACGGUGUAGCAGUGAAAUGCGUAGAUAUCGUGAGGAGACCAGUUGCGAAGGCGGAUCUCUGGGCAGUUCCUGACACUGAGGCACGAAGGCCAGGGGAGCAAACGGG